rnacentral:rRNA from 1 species
GAUGAACGCUGGCGGCGUGCCUAAUACAUGCAAGUCGAGCGAACGGACGAGAAGCUUGCUUCUCUGAUGUUAGCGGCGGACGGGUGAGUAACACGUGGAUAACCUACCUAUAAGACUGGGAUAACUUCGGGAAACCGGAGCUAAUACCGGAUAAUAUUUUGAACCGCAUGGUUCAAAAGUGAAAGACGGUCUUGCUGUCACUUAUAGAUGGAUCCGCGCUGCAUUAGCUAGUUGGUAAGGUAACGGCUUACCAAGGCAACGAUGCAUAGCCGACCUGAGAGGGUGAUCGGCCACACUGGAACUGAGACACGGUCCAGACUCCUACGGGAGGCAGCAGUAGGGAAUCUUCCGCAAUGGGCGAAAGCCUGACGGAGCAACGCCGCGUGAGUGAUGAAGGUCUUCGGAUCGUAAAACUCUGUUAUUAGGGAAGAACAUAUGUGUAAGUAACUGUGCACAUCUUGACGGUACCUAAUCAGAAAGCCACGGCUAACUACGUGCCAGCAGCCGCGGUAAUACGUAGGUGGCAAGCGUUAUCCGGAAUUAUUGGGCGUAAAGCGCGCGUAGGCGGUUUUUUAAGUCUGAUGUGAAAGCCCACGGCUCAACCGUGGAGGGUCAUUGGAAACUGGAAAACUUGAGUGCAGAAGAGGAAAGUGGAAUUCCAUGUGUAGCGGUGAAAUGCGCAGAGAUAUGGAGGAACACCAGUGGCGAAGGCGACUUUCUGGUCUGUAACUGACGCUGAUGUGCGAAAGCGUGGGGAUCAAACAGGAUUAGAUACCCGGGUAGUCCACGCCGUAAACGAUGAGUGCUAAGUGUUAGGGGGUUUCCGCCCCUUAGUGCUGCAGCUAACGCAUUAAGCACUCCGCCUGGGGAGUACGACCGCAAGGUUGAAACUCAAAGGAAUUGACGGGGACCCGCACAAGCGGUGGAGCAUGUGGUUUAAUUCGAAGCAACGCGAAGAACCUUACCAAAUCUUGACAUCCUUUGACAACUCUAGAGAUAGAGCUUUCCCCUUCGGGGGACAAAGUGACAGGUGGUGCAUGGUUGUCGUCAGCUCGUGUCGUGAGAUGUUGGGUUAAGUCCCGCAACGAGCGCAACCCUUAAGCUUAGUUGCCAUCAUUAAGUUGGGCACUCUAAGUUGACUGCCGGUGACAAACCGGAGGAAGGUGGGGAUGACGUCAAAUCAUCAUGCCCCUUAUGAUUUGGGCUACACACGUGCUANCAUGGACAAUANCAAGGGCAGCGAAACCGCGAGGUCAAGCAAAUCCCAUAAAGUUGUUCUCAGUUCGGAUUGUAGUCUGCAACUCGACUACAUGAAGCUGGAAUCGCUNAGUAUCGUAGAUCAGCAUGCUACCGUGAAUACGUUCCCCGGUCU